rnacentral:rRNA from 1 species
AAAACCACGAGUUUGAUCGUGGCUCAGGAUGAACGCUGGCGGCGUGCCUAACACAUGCAAGUCGUACGAGCUCGAUCUUCGGAACGGGUUAGUGGCGCACGGGUGAGUAACACGUAGGUGACCUACCCCAGAGUGGGGGAUAACUUCUCGAAAGAGAGGCUAAUACCGCAUACACUCGGUCAUUCAUUUGGCCGAGCAAAGCUCCGGCGCUUUGGGACGGGCCUGCGUCCGAUUAGCUAGUUGGUAGGGUAAUGGCUUACCAAGGCUUUGAUCGGUAGCUGGUCUGAGAGGACGAUCAGCCACACUGGCACUGACACACGGGCCAGACUCCUACGGGAGGCAGCAGUGAGGAAUAUUGGGCAAUGGGCGAAAGCCUGACCCAGCAACGCCGCGUGAGGGAUGAAGGCCUUCGGGUUGUAAACCUCUUUUCUGGGAGAAGAGACAAGGACGGGUAUCCCA